rnacentral:lncRNA from 1 species
GGAACACAGAGGUGUGAUUGACGAAAAAGAGUCCUUCCUAGGGGCUGCAGACAUGGCUCAGAGGUUAAGAAUACUUGCUGCUUUUGUUAAAGAUGUGUCUUUGGUUCCUAGGAUUACAUAGCAGCUUGCAUCUGUCUGUUAACUCCAGUUCCAGGAGAUCUGAUGCCCUCUUCUGACAUCCAGGGGUACUAGGCAUGCAUUGGUACACUUAUAUAUGUGUAUACUUAUACAUACACACAAAAUAAAAAUGAACGUCUGUACAACUUUUUUUUUCGUAUUUGACACUAAGUCAGAGGGGUGACUUUGCUGAUUUUAGUGAGUAGUGGGGGGAUGACAUUUUGGUUGCUGUGCUGUUCAAAGAAAGAAACAUAAAUCCCCUCCAAGACAUAGAGUUUCCUCACUGCUCCCUGGACUUCACUAAAGUCCUGACACACGUGAUCAAUAGCUAUGCUCUGAAAGUUAAACAGAUGAAGCCAGGGUGGCAGCUAUCAUUAAUAACUGACAUUUUGUUUCUGGGUUUCACAGCUAUCCCACAUAUAUCUUCCCAAUGGUGCUGCCAAGGAGGUGGGAAUUUCUACGUCUCAUAAAGAAAUUAAGUGAGACUUAGACACUGAAUGAACCACCAGAUGACAAACAGAACUGUGUGCAUUGAGGUAACACACUCAGUCCAGCUUCAGGCUAAUGCUGACAUCUUGAUGGUCAGUCAGCACUGUAGGCUGACUUCUGCCUUCCAUUUGCCUGGAUCACUAAACAGUGUCACUGAGGUCAUCAAGAUUCAUUACACCAACUCCAGUCUCCAGGAGACUCUAUCGCCAAAGGAGUGUGGCUUUGAAAGGGCAUCCACAGAGCGAUGUGUCAAGAAUUAA